UAUGUCCUCAACCCCUCCUCCCCCCAGCCCCUCUAACUAGCUUUGAAAUCCGCCUGUAAAGGGGGCAGAUCGGGGGCGCCGGGGGACGGGACUCCCCAGGGGAGGGGCCCAUCUUGUUCCCAGAGCCGAAAGAGUUACAAAGGGAGCGAGAAAGACCGGCUGCGGGGGUACUGACUCCGCGGUGGAGUAUGCAAGAUGCCAUUCAUUCUGCAACUGCAACCCAGGCAUUGGGCGCUCCCAAGAUUUUCCUUGGCAGGACUAUGCCUGUUCCCUUCUCACUCCCAGACGACAGUGACCACCCUUAGAAGAUUCUGUCCUGCUCAAAAUCCUGCAUGGAAGCAAGAAAGUAGCUGUUUAAAUGAAGCCAUGAAAUGUCUGAAGAAGUACUAUCAGGUUGUGUGAAGACAAACACAAGAUCAACAGAAGGGAAGCAGCAAAUGGGGCAGAGUGUGUUUUCUGAAGUGUCCAUCUCUGUGAAAGUUCAGCAUGGCAGGAUGGGGAGGAAAGUACCCAAAAGCAAGCAAACUCAAGUAGGAUUUGGACAGUGUUUUACAUGGACAUCUGCAAGCCAAAAAGCCAAGGAAAAAUGUCUCGCCUUGUGCUGUGUUCAUAGUCAUGGCAAACCACAGAAUGUCUCACGUGGCAUUUUGUGAGCUCCAAAGCAAUGAGCUGUGAUUCCAAGUAUCUACAGGCACUUCAAGUCUUUGCAAGCUUGUUGUGACUCGUCUUGAAUGGCACCAGUUUGUUUAUACAAAUUAAAAUGUGAAAUAGCUCAUAGCUCUUUCAGAUAUGAUAAGAUGGUUCUUUGCACUGUAUUACCAUUUGAAGGUGACUCUUCACUGAGUUUAAUAUCCUAUCUCCUUUUAAUAAAACCAAAAGUCAGUAUUUUUAAAAGUAAUUAUAUUAGACAUACAUAAAUUC